UAGGGAAUAUUGCGCAAUGGGGGCAACCCUGACGCAGCAACGCCGCGUGAGUGAGGAAGGCCUUCGGGUCGUAAAGCUCUGUUCUUAGGGAAAAAUGGUUAUGGAGCUAAUACCCCAUGGCUUGAUGGUACCUAAGGAGAAAAGACCGGCUAACUUCGUGCCAGCAGCCGCGGUAAUACGAAGGGUCUAAGCGUUGUUCGGAUUUAUUGGGCGUAAAGCGCGCGCAGGUGGAUCAGCAAGUCAGAUGUGAAAUCUCAGGGCUCAACCCUGAAACUGCGUCUGAAACUGCUAGUCUAGAGUGUUGGAGGGGGUAGGGGAAUUUCACGUGUAGGGGUAAAAUCCGUAGAGAUGUGAAGGAACACCGGAGGCGAAGGCGCCUACCUGGACAACUACUGACACU
rnacentral:rRNA from 1 species